rnacentral:rRNA from 1 species
UACGUAGGGGGCAAGCGUUGUCCGGAUUUAUUGGGCGUAAAGAGCGUGUAGGCGGCCAGACAGGUCAGCUGUGAAAACUCGAGGCUCAACCUCGAGACGUCGGCGGAAACCCUCUGGCUAGAGUCCGGAAGAGGAGAGUGGAAUUCCUGGUGUAGCGGUGAAAUGCGCAGAUAUCAGGAAGAACACCCGUGGCGAAGGCGGCUCUCUGGGACGGUACUGACGCUGAGACGCGAAAGCGUGGGGAGCAAACAGG